rnacentral:misc_RNA from 1 species
GGAUGAGUAAAAAUUAUGGUUCCUGUAUGAGUGAUUGGCAAACCUGAUCCAUCACCUAUCAGAAUUUCAUCUGGGCCAGUGUAUUUAGAAUGGAGUGAAAGAUUGCCAAGAUCACUGGUAACAUGAUGUGAGGCUGCAGUAUCCAGAAACCAUGGAGAUGAAUUGGCAUUUGAAGUGACAGUUGCAUUUGCAGAUGGAAAAUUGUUUUGUCCUAGCUUGACUUUGAAACAAGUCUUAGCAGUAUGUCCAUAACGAUCACAAAACUGACAUUGCACCUGAGACUGGAAGCGAGAGGUGUUGUUGCAUGGCUGGAAAGGGCGAGAGAAGUGACCUCUAGUCCUUGAGAAACUGUUGUUAUGCUGCACAGUGCGUUGUGGGGUAUUAAAGGAGGUUCGUGGCUGUGUAUUGCGUCUUGUGACAUUAGCAGUGAUAAAUGAAGUUUCAGAAGAGGUGUCUUUUUUUAGAAAGGCAUCAUAAUCAGUGAGUUUUUCAUGGAGCUCUUCAAAAGAAAUUGGUGUUUCACGUGCUCUGAUAGCUGUUGUGAGUUCUUUGAAUUCAGGGCCUAUACCAUUUAGAACAUG